CGCACCUUGCGCUCCUUGGUAUUCCGAGGAGCGUGCCUGUUUGAGUGUCAUUGAAUUCUCAACCAUGUCUUGAUUUAUUUCGAGCGCAUGGUUUGGACGUGGGGGCUGCUGGCGGCGCGAGCCGUCGGCUCUCCUUAAAUGCAUUAGCAAAGGCGAGCCUUUCGUGCACGGCCUUCGACGUGAUAACGAUCGUCGUGGCUGGAGCGAGAGGCAUGAAUCGUCGCUGCUUCUAGUCUGAUCUUCGCGGAUCGCUCUUUCGAAACUUGACCUCAAAUCAGGCAGGACUACCCGCUGAACUUAA
rnacentral:misc_RNA from 1 species